CCUACGGGAGGCAGCAGUAAGGAAUAUUGGUCAAUGGACGAAAGUCUGAACCAGCCAUGCCGCGUGAAGGAUGAAGGCCCUCUGGGUUGUAAACUUCUUUUAUCUGGGACGAAAAAAGCUCAUUCUUGAGCACUUGACGGUACCAGAGGAAUAAGCACCGGCUAACUCCGUGCCAGCAGCCGCGGUAAUACGGAGGGUGCAAGCGUUAUCCGGAUUCACUGGGUUUAAAGGGUGCGUAGGUGGGUCUGAAAGUCAGUGGUGAAAUCUCCGAGCUUAACUCGGAAACUGCCAUUGAUACUAUAGGUCUUGAAUCAUCUGGAGGUAAGCGGAAUAUGUCAUGUAGCGGUGAAAUGCUUAGAUAUGACAUAGAACACCAAUUGCGAAGGCAGCUUACUACGGGUGCAUUGACACUGAGGCACGAAAGCGUGGGGAUCAAACAGGAUUAGAUACCCUGGUAGUCCACGCCCUAAACGAUGGAUACUCGACAUCAGCGAUACACUGUUGGUGUCUGAGCGAAAGCAUUAAGAUCCCACCUGGGAAGUACGACCGCAAGGUUGAAACGUCAAAUGAAAUUGACGG
rnacentral:rRNA from 1 species